rnacentral:rRNA from 1 species
GUGGGGAAUCUUCCGCAAUGGACGAAAGUCUGACGGAGCAACGCCGCGUGAGUGAUGAAGGUCUUCGGAUUGUAAAGCUCUGUUAAUCGGGACGAAAGAGCCUAGUGUGAAUAAUGCUAGGAAGUGACGGUACCGGAAUAGAAAGCCACGGCUAACUACGUGCCAGCAGCCGCGGUAAUACGUAGGUGGCAAGCGUUGUCCGGAAUUAUUGGGCGUAAAGCGCGCGCAGGCGGAUCUGCCAGUCUGUCUUAAAAGUUCGGGGCUUAACCCCGUGAUGGGAUGGAAACUACAGAGCUAGAGUAUCGGAGAGGAAAGUGGAAUUCCUAGUGUAGCGGUGAAAUGCGUAGAUAUUAGGAAGAACACCAGUGGCGAAGGCGACUUUCUGGACGAAAACUGACGCUGAGGCGCGAAAGCCAGGGGAGCGAACGGGAUUAGAAACCCGGGUAGUCC